rnacentral:rRNA from 1 species
UACGUAGGGACCAAGCGUUGUUCGGAUUUACUGGGCGUAAAGGGCGCGUAGGCGGCAAAUUAAGUCAUCUGUGAAAUCUCCGAGCUUAACUCGGAACGGUCAGGUGAUACUGAUCUGCUAGAGUGCGGAAGGGGCAAUCGGAAUUCUUGGUGUAGCGGUGAAAUUCGUAGAUAUCAGGAGGAACACCGGUGGCGAAGGCGGGUCUCUGGGCCGACACUGACGCUGAUGCGCGAAAGCCAGGGGAGCGAACGGG